CAUUAAUCAAGAAAAUCAAGAAGAUGAAGAAGACCCAUUAGUACCAACAUGAGCAACAUUAUCAUUUCCAAAGUGUUGUUCUUGUUGUUGUUGUUGAUGAUGAUUCAGAUUCUCACUGCUGUUGUUGUUGUUGCUGCUGUUAUUUUCAAGAUUAUUGCUUGUACCAUUUCCAUUUCCAUUUCCAUUAGCGUCUCUCUUGCCGAAUGUGUUCUUGUUAUUAUGCAUCCACACUUUCAACACUCCUUUAUCACCCCCAACUUCAUUGCAAAAUUCUUGAAUCAAUUCCUCAUCUCUUUUUUGCAUCUUCCAUCCAACUCUCUCCGCAACCUGAUACAUUAUCUCUUUCUGGUCCUGGCUAAAUUUUGUCCUGAAGCGUUUUCUUGCCGAAACGCCCCCCGAAACGUUUAUAUUCGAAUUUUCGUUUAACCCAGCAGCUACGCCACCUGAGAGAGCUAACAGCAUGUGUGGCGCAGAUGGGUAGGAAGAAGAGAUCGGCGGCGGAAAAUAGGAAGCUGAAUAACACUUAUCGUUACAUGGCCGGCGAAGGAUUUUGUGGGCGGCGCAAGAUCCGAGGAAAGCCGCAGAUGGAAGGCAGGAACGGCUGGAAGAAGUUUGGGAAAGCUGUAAGGAAAGACUUUGAUGAUGAGAAGACAGAAAAGGAGAAUUUACAAUUGGAUCAGAAGAUGAUGAAGAAUAUGAAUCAAAAGAUAGCGACGGAGAAGAGGACGAUGAUUGUCUUGGUGAUUGGGAAUCGGAAAAUGUAGAGGGAAAUACGAAUGGGUUUUUCGCCAUCUGAAAGCGAUCGAGAUAGAACAGGAAAUGGGUCAACACUUGGUAUGUAUACGAGUACUUUUUUCCAAUUUUUGAUUGCUAUGGGAUAUCACAUUUCAGAGAAUUCAAAAAUAAGGGAAAGUGCGGCAGCGCCUCUUCCAUUUCCCUUCCAUUUUGACUAACUCCUCUUCCUUUAAGCAGUGUUAUUUUUCUUUUAUUUUCCAUUCAGCUAAGUUGGAGACUAAUACAUGAUCAAACUAAUAUUAACACAUUUCAAUAAAAUUUAUAAAAUAAAAUUUAGUAUGGUAACCAAAAAAAAAAAAAAAAACUCUGAUGUACCAAUUUGUUCUUAAUAAUGAAUAAUGAAAGAGGGAGAAAAGGAACAAAGAGGAUGGAAUUCCAUACGUAAAAUAGUUACUAGCAAAACCCACUUUAUUGCCUUACAUCAACCAUAGUAGGGUACAGGGUCUUGGGCUGGAAGGCAUAAGCCUUAUAACUAAGGGGCUACAGCGUUGUUUUAGUUGGAGUAAACCCAUUUGGGAUUGGGUUUGGCAAGCCCAUCACUCCCCUGGGCCUUGGUAAGUCUAAUGUCAAGAGGAGACGUUCAAAAUUAAUGACCUAAUAAUUUGUUAGUAUCACAACGAGCUCUAUUGCACUCUAUAAUUAAUUAAUUAAUCAUCAUUUCAAACUAAUUAAAUGUAAAUUUUUAAACUCCAUGAUAUUUUGAGUGAUUUCUAAUUUAUGAGAUUGUGAGCUGUAGCCAAUUGAUCAUUAUAAAAAAAGAAUAAAUUAUAUUUAUACUUAAUUUUAUUUUCAUUUUGUUAUUUUGUAAUUUUUAAAUUUAAUUUUUUAUUUCAAUGGAAGAUAGUUUAUAAGAAUUUUGUUACUAAUAAUAUUAGUAUGGCACUAAAAUAUUUCAUUAAAAAAUCAUAUAUAUACUUGUAAAUUAAUUUGGCACCUACUUACUAUUCGAGGUCGUAAAUUGUUCCCACUUAAAGAAUAUAACUUCUUUUUUUAAAGAAGAGUAAAAGAAAAAGGUAAAAAGAAUACCGAAAAAAUAAUAAAAUUUUCUAUAUUGUGACUAUGAGAUUUUAUUUUAUUGAGAAAAAAAAAAAAAAAAAAAGAAAGCAAAUUUAUGAAGCAACUCAGUUUAUAAAAGAUAGAACUAUGUUAAAAUAAUUUAAAAAAUGGAAUCAAACUUGCAUCUUAGCUAGAAUUUGGUUGAUCCCCUUUUCAAAAAAGAAGUUACUUUUGGAAGCAUAAAAAUAUACUGUGGAUCAAGAAUACAAGUGACAGCUCUUGGGGUUGGACACAGCUUUUGAAGCUCAUCAGAUAAAAGUUACACUCAAUGACCAAUCUUCCAUUAAUUGGCAUCUGCUUAAUUCAGUCAAAUUGCACAAGAAUAAAAUUUUUGAUUCUUUCAAUCCCCAUCAAAUGCUUAUAUGAACAUCUUCUACUUUGAUACAAAGUGCAAUUUGUAAGGUUAGUUGGUAGAAGAUCAUUUAUCUUCAACUGAUUUUCAAGGUUUCAACCCUGAGAUACAUUGCUUCACACCAUCCACCUUUCAUCCUUCUGCCUAAACACAAUCAAACUCAAAGCUUUACUUAAGCAUAUUCUCAAACAACAUAUGUGCAUAAACAAAGUGAUUUGAAGGUGAAUUAAUUGGUUAGUAUAAAAAGUGAAUGUUAGGCUGUAAGAAGGAAUUGAAAGACAAGCUUUUUUAUGCUGAAACAAUUAGAAUUUAACCCAUCCAAGAAGCGGUUGGAUUUGUUAGAUCAUGUUGCAAGUUUAUUGAAGUUCAUGUGUCAAUUGUACAGUUCCAAAGUCUCAAUCAUCUUCAUAAGUGGCCUGCAUGUGAACUGUACUACUCGGUUUCCAUUUUGGGUCAGACAAAUUGGGCUCUUUCCUCUCUGUUUUCACAUGCGAUCAAAGUCCAUAGCCAGAUUCAACAGCACCAACGAAUCCUUCACCUUGCUUUUAUAUAUAUAUCCUUCAAUCAACCACAAAUUAGCAAUGCCAUAUAUACAGAGAAAGAGUUAUACAAUUCAAAAUGAAAGGAUUAUAACCUCCUCACAAACGGAAGAUAUACGCCUGGCUCCAGAUUUUGGAAUUCCUAAUGUUUUAAGUUAAUUUCCUUUUUUUUUUUUUUUUUAAUUGUCUAGAAUCUGAAGUCCAUUGCCAGACUAAUCCGGAUUCGCGUCGAGCAUACCCUCAAAGGGACAAAGCGCUUCCUCCGAAGUGUUCAAAGACAUUACAUACAUAUGGCUCGAAUUCAGACACCUCUAAUUAAAAGAAAGGGAUUUCAGUCAUUCCUUAUUACCGACUGGAGUUAUAUUCGUUUAUUGAUUAAGUUUCUAUUAAUACCAUAUAAUUUUUUUUUUAAUUUGAAAAUAAAUUUAGAAAAAGGAGAAAGAAGAAUGUUUGAAGGUUAAAUAUAGAAAAAGUUAAUUUUGGAAAACAAAGAGGGAAAUGGAACAAGAUUAAAUCAAUAUUCACAUACCCAAGUUGAAGGAUACGAUGAAUUUGUCCACAAAGAUUAAAUCUUAGUGGACAUAAACAUAAUUAAAAAAAAAAAAAAAAAAAAAAAAACCAAUGAGAAUAUUAAAUGAAAGAAUUAGAAAAAUAAAAUUAAGAAUUGGCAAAUGGUUGAUAAUUGUUUGGACCACAUAAUAAAGUGCAGUAAUCUUUAUGCUCCAAAUAAUUUAGUGUGGUCCUCCAUUGACUCGUUAAUUAGUAGCUACAACAAGAGUUUCUUUCAACUUCCGUUUGUUACUACCACUACGUGCUCCUUUCCUUUUCUCCAACAACGAUUUAAAGGCUUAUACUUUAUUUUCUUGUCAUAAUUUUCAAGUGGGUUUCAGCAUCUUUUCUUUCUCUAAAUAAAUUCCACAAAUUACUCUUUUCAAAAACAUCAGAUUUCUUAUUUAGUUUCUUCCAUAUGUAUGAUGGAUUUGUGGAUGUCUCUUGCCAAUCCAUCAAAAAAUAAAUUAUUAAUUGUGUUAACUUUUAUUUCUUUUUUUUGGAAAUUAUUUUAUUAAAACUAUUUGUUCUUUUGAUAAGAUUAAUGAAUAUUAAUUAAUUUUUUAAAAUUUACUAAUAGAUGAUGUAUGUUAGAGUAAUAGAUCAAAUCAAAGAUAACUUAAUCAAAUUAAGGAGUACUUUAUUAUUAUUAUAAUUUAGGUGAUUUAGUUGCUUUUUUAAGCACUAUGUAAAUUUUUUUUUUUCCGUUUAAUGAUUUACGUAAUCUUAUUUUCCGUUCACUCCGAGAGGCAUGAGAGUUGGCUUGUGGAGAUUUUACGCUGAGAGUGCCUCAAAACUACAACCUCGUAAAUCUCUCAAUUCCUUUGAGUGCUCUUUGUCACUGAACAUAAAAUUUUUACAAGAUAAAAAAAAUGAAUUGAAAGAAGAUAAAAGAAAGUCAUUUUCAAUGUAAGUAUUGAAGGUGAAAGCAUAAUCACGAAAAAUAUAACUUGUAAUUGUAAUUAACUUUUUGAGAUGGAAAGGGUAAAACCCUAAUUAUGGACAGUGAAUUUCUUGGUGUAGGAACGGUGCCGCUGUAAUUAGCGUAGUUAUUACAGUAACAAUAUAGCAAACCCCAUGUCUAAUUAUUCAAGAGGAUGAGUAAGCAGUUAGCUCUUUCUUAGCAACAAUUUGAAUUUGCUAAACGACAUGUGGAAAAGAAAAACAAAAAGGAAAAAUACAACAAGUGGAUAUUUGCAGACAAAACCACAAGAUGAACACAUGACUUGACCUUAUAUGAUACCAAUUUAAAUUCUUCUCUUUCUUUUUUUUUUUUUUUCUUUUUAUUCAUUUGGAUUGGCAUAUAAAUUUUUUGCUAUUUAUUUAAUUAUGAACUUAACAAAAUGAAGGUUAUAUUCAGCAACCACUUUUUAAAUAGCUUUUAGAGUUUAACGUGGUGUUUCAUGCUUAAACAGUUGAUUGUUAAAUGUUAACAACUACCAAAACAAUUGGUUUUGUUGAACAACCCUGAAGCAAAGAAUACACAUAGCCAUCGGCAAAGCUAUAUGAUGAGAAGAUUGUAGGAGCCAUUUAUAAAUGCAAGUCCUAGGAUUUAAAUUCAAGAUCUGUAAACUAAAUGCAAGUCCUAGGAUUUAAAUUCAAGAUCUGUAAACUUUCACUUGAUUGCUUGAAUUAAUUAGGGAUUAAAUUAGAAUUAGCAUAUGAUUGUGUUGAAAGUAAGGAGAAGAGAAAUUCUUGUACCUAAUAUGAAAAAGGGAGAGGAUUAGGACAAAGGUAGUUUUAAAGAAAGCUGAAACUGAAGUAAUAAGGAAGGUGUACCUAUACAUUUUUAUAUCAUUAAAUUUAGCUUUGGGUUUCUACAAUAACAGUUUCUAUUUUUAGCUUAAGCAUUAUUACAGCAAUGGAGUUUCAAAAUAUUCAAUAGUUGAAAAUCAAAUUUAGAAUUUUUUUAGACGACCAAGUUUAGAAAAUAUGCUUCCAUCAAUCAUUUGAUAAUUAAAUUGUUUUUACUUGGGACUUAACUGUUGAAUCAUUUGUGAAUGUAAUUUUAUUGAUUUUUUAUUAUUUUUUUGAGAGCUAGCUCCAUUUUUUUUUUAAAAAAAAAAAAAACUAAAUAAAAAGAUGUGCAAAAGCAUAAAGCGGCCAUAUAUUUACCUGGGAGGGCAAAUACUUUUAGAAGUGGGCUAAUGCACGUGCACGUGCACACGCACAAGGGAAUAUUAUGGUGCACAAGUUGGUCCAUACGCUACUCCAUCUUUGAUAUGGGCUUUAAAACCUAAAGUUCAAAGUUGAAUCCUUAAUCACAUAUUUAUAAUUAUAUUAGUGGAGUAUUUUCUUUUCUGAGGUCUCAUUCAUUAAAAUUAAUGGAGGCAUGUAGGGACACAAUGUUUGUUUUUCACAAUCAAGAUUAUCAUUAUUAAUUGACAAUCUUUAAUAUUAACUGCCCUCUUUAAGCUAUUAUUAACACCUUGCAUUGCACUAAGCCACAUCUUAUUCUUAAUAAGUAGAUAAGCAUCAACAAAUUACUUAAAGCUUCUAUGUAAAGACUCCUGAAUGUCAAUUAUUUGACAUAUGACAUUUGCCAAUUUUUCUUGUGUGAAUGAAAAGAUGGUAUUUCAAUUCAAUCCUUCUAAAAAAUUAUAAUAUGUUAUAUUCAAAAAAAAUCCUAAAAAAAAUAUAAUCUCAAGUUUUUUUAGGCAAAAAAAGUCAUGGGAAGUUAAUUUCACACAUCAUGAUAAUUUUUUUUUUUUUUUUUUUUUUUGCAGCAAAAAUUUCUUUUAUUAUUAAAAUCCUGGAAAAAUUUAAUAUACGGGCCAUUAAGCCUCCCAGGACACCCAUCCUAACUCGCAUCAUGAUAAACUGACAAUAAGAAUUACUAAUUAAGGUUUUUUUGUUAAUUUAAACCUUUUUUUCAUCCAUUUUAUUCUUGAAUGAAAAAUCCAUAAAUGCCAUUCACAAGCAUGGUGCCUCUCAUUAAUACACACAUUAAAUUUUAAACCUAACAAGUUAUUAAAUAAUGUCUCACUCUCAUCAUCAAUCAAAAUAUCCUUGAAUUGAAGUUUGUUCCAAAUUAUACAACAACUAGCUACUCAAACAGAACAAAUUUACAAUCCUAUAUAUACUCGUACUUAUAUAAAACUUAUAUCAGAUACAAGUACUAAAAGAAACCUAACCCUUGAUUAGCUAAUAUCAAAAAACAUCAAAAUUUUCCAAAAAGAAAAAUAAAAUCAAAGCUUUGAAAAAUUUCUCUUAUUUCUGGGGAUGAUGUAAGCCUAUAUGCUCCUGAAUUAACGAUACUUAAUAAGGGUAGAACCGUAGAAUAUAGAUAGGGUUAUGACCCAUGCUUGGGGCAGUUGGGUCCUUAAGUAAGCCAGAAAGACAAGAUUACUGACUUCAUCAAUGACCAAAACCAAAACAACCCAUUAUAGAGAUAUGUAAGAUAAGGCACUCCACAUUUAAUUUAAGUACCCACUACUUUCUUUCUUUUCGUCAUCAUCUACCUAUUUUUAAAUAUUUAUCUAAUAAUAAUAAUAAUAAUAAUAAUAAUAUACAAGUUAAACUAAUUCUGAUUUCUGCUUCCCUUAAAAGGAAAGUGAGAAAAUAAAAUAUUAAUAUUGCUUAAAAGAGAUUAGAUUGUUCAUACUUUUUCCUCAUCUGAUUAGCUAUUAAAGACUAAAAUACACAAUCAGAUCAGAUUAACUAAAAUAUUAGUACUUUUUUCCCUUAUUAAGCAUUAAAUAUCAUAUCUACUCAUAAACUAAAAAGCUAAUGCACAUAACAGGGCAAGAAUGCUUUCUUUUGUGCACUUUAUUAGAAUGGGAAGAAGAAGUAAAAGAAUUUUAUAUAUAUAAAGAAAGAAAGAAAGAAAGCACAAGCUUGGUUUUUUUAUUUUUAAUAGCACAGUGAACUUAUCAGCAUUUAGCACCACUAAAUUAAUUAACUUCCAAUCAAGAAUCUCGAUUAAAAACUGCAAUUGCUGAUGAUUGAAAAGUGUUAUGAAAUGAUGCAUUUUGUAAUUUAUUUUAAUUAAAACAUUAUAAUAUAAGAUUUGAUUAUAAUCAAAUUCUAUUGUGUACAAAAAGAUUAUUAGAUAUGUUAGAAUAAUAUGUAACCGCCCUAAUCUAAGUGACACCACUUUUUGCUUCUUUCUCUCAGACAGAAGAUAAAAGGAAUCCCUCUGUUUCUCUUUCUUUCUCUCUUGGCAGCCAUUAACUAGAUUCAGAAAAUUGAAAUUAGAAAAAAAAAUUAAUUAAAGAAGAUUAAUUAAUUAAUUAAUCUAGUAUUAAAAGUGAGCAAUUGAAAGACGAGAUGAGAGUAAAGUUUUUAGGAUCCCCAAAUAAUUUAAUAUUAAGUAGCUCCUAAUAACACUAAAGUGAAAGCAAACAAAUCAUGCCACAGAAAAGCUAACAAAACCAAAGAAACAUAUGAAAUAAAUUUUUUUUUUUCCUCUUUGGAUCAAAGCUCUCGCAUGUUACUCUUCAACAAAGUGAAGAAGAAGAAGAAGAAGAAAAAGAAGAAGAAAAGGAUGAUUAAUUAAACUAAAUUAAAAAAAAAAAAGAAAAAGAAAAUUAAGGGGAAAAAAACUGAAGAAGUGAAAUUAGAAGAAAAGAAACAACUACUAGCAUGCUUACUGAUCUCUCUCUAUCUAGCUAAGAUUUAUUAUAACCUCCUCCAUCAUCAAAAGAUAAAACCAUUAAUCAAGAAAAUCAAGAAGAUGAAGAAGACCCAUUAGUACCAACAUGAGCAACAUUAUCAUUUCCAAAGUGUUGUUCUUGUUGUUGUUGUUGANNNNNNNNNNNNNNNNNNNNNNNNNUUGCUGUUAUUUUCAAGAUCAUUGCUUGUACCAUUUCCAUUUCCAUUUCCAUUUCCAUUAGCGUCUCUCUUGCCGAAGGUGUUCUUGUUAUUAUGCAUCCACACUUUCAACACUCCUUUAUCAACCCCAACUUCAUUGCAAAAUUCUUGAAUCAAUUCUUCAUCUCUUUUUUGCAUCUUCCAUCCAACUCUCUCCGCAAACUGAUACAUUCUCUCUUUCUGGU
rnacentral:lncRNA from 1 species